rnacentral:rRNA from 1 species
CUAGUACCAGUGUAGUGACUGAUGGAGUGACAAAGAAGGAUAGGCGUCCACCCUUAAUGGAUUGGGUGAGAAGGAUUCGAGGCUAGUACUUAGGCAAAUCCGGGUACUGUUAAAGCUGAGAACUGAUAUAAAGACGUACGAGUUCAUGCUUUCAAGAAAAGCUUCUAAGGUUAAUCAUUAUACUGCCCGUACCGUAAACCGACACAGGUGGGUGAGUAGAAUAUAUUAAGACGCGCGAGAAAACUGUUGUUAAGGAACUCGGCAAAUUGACCCCGUAACUUCGGGAAAAGGGGGACUCCUUAUGAAAACGAGGAGUCGCAGAGAAAAGGCCCAAGCGACUGUUUAGCAAAAACACAGGUCUCUGCAAAACCGUAAGGUGAAGUAUAGAGGCUGACGCUUGCCCGGUGCUGGAAGAUUAAGAGGAGAUGUCAG